CCAGCUACAAUAGUCAUUUGCAACAUUAACAAUGUCUACACUGUAUUUCUGAUCAAUUUGAUGUUAUUUUUAAUGGACAAAAAAAUUACAUUUUCUUUCAAAAACAAGGACAUUUCUAAGUGACACUAAACUUUUGAACAGUAGUGUAUAUAUAGAAAGUACAUACAAACCACUUCCUGGAAAUUGUGUCUUAUGCUAAUAAAAUACUCUGUAAUCCUGACGUUUUAAUAGAGAUAUUCUAUAUGCUCUUUUUACUGACUGACUGUGAUCUUUAUAAGGAUUCAUAGAAAUUCUUCAGACACUAAUGUCUGGACACUGAGAGUAGAGGGUACCUUGUCCAUGGGGCUGCUUGAGAUUCUUCCUUUGCUUCUUCUGGUCUCAUCUUGUUCUAUUAUCUCUGGCACAUGAAAGAACACUAGCUUCUGCAAGUCAUAUCUCUCACCUCUCCGCAACCCCACUCUGCAACAUUCUGUUACUCUAUUUCCUCUCUUUCGUAACCUGCCUCUUCCUGGCUGGGUGCAGGGAAACGUGAUCGCAGAAACAGUGUUGGCUCCCUCGACAGUACCAUGGAAGGUUCCAUCAUUAGCAGCCCCCAGCCGCACCAGCGUUACCCGGUUCCGGGCGUGGUCCCAGGCUGCUACCCUACAGAAGACUACCGGCUGCAUCGCCCCAUCCUGAGCCCCGGAACGGGGGUGGGGGGUGGGCCGGGGCAACAACACACCGCUGCUGGGACGGGAGUUGGGGGGGUUCCCAGCAGUGUAGAGAGAGCGGGGGUGGGGAGCGGCCCUGGGGGGGGCAAUACGGGCUCCUUCCUGGGCUCUCUAUUCGGCAGCAAACGCGUCAAGCCGCCAAGUCCCCUUAUACCACCGGGGCCACCCUACCCCGCCCCUGUCCCCCCACCCACUACGGGAGGGCCCCCUCCUCACUCCCCAUCAUCUCUGUGCCAGUCGGAGGGGGGCCCUUCCAAGAUCCAGGCCCUGCAUGCUCAGUACUGCCACACGGCCGCUGUGCAGCCCCCUCCUCCCUACUACCAUCACCAUCGCUACCACGUCCAAGCUGGCCCUCCUCCCUUGCCAGGCGGGGGCGUGCCCCCUCAUAUCCUUCAGAGAGGGCCGUUCCCCUGUCGCCCUCCUAUUGGCCCCCCUCACACCCAGCUCCAGCAGCUGGCCCAUCUCUCCCAGCUUUCCCAGCAUGGCAUGCAGGGUCGCUACAGCAACAUGGCGGUGGGCUGUCCUCCCCCCCUUUCUCCUCACUCCCAACAUUCUCAGAACCCCCAGUUCACCAUGUACCACACACAGCCCACACACUCUAUCAGGGCAGGCGCCAUGCCAGGCAAACCUCCUCUGACUUUGUCUCACUCCCACCCGCACCCCCACGCACACUCCCACACCCAUCCCGGGCACCCCCUCAGUGCCGCGCCGCACCCCGCCCCCCACCCCAUCAAUCUCGCUUCAUCUUUGGAACGCUGCCCCACCAACUCAGCAUCAGCAGUCGUCCGCUUCCGUCAACACCCAUCACGCUGCGCCCGCCGCCCAGUAUCAGCCCCUGUACCCUCCUCUCUCUUCUAUCCCCCCCCCCUCCCCACUCCCCUUACCCCCCCCUUCUACCCCCCUUAUCCCCUUAGUGCCUUCUUUUCCCUCACCCCCCCCAGCACCCCGGUCAGCAUCAGCAGGGGCCCCAGGUGACGGGACCUGGGGCGACUGGCACAGGCGGCAGCUCCAAAUCCAAACCUAUCAACCGGAUCAGCACGGUGGUGUGAGCAGCAGAACGUGGGGCCACAGAAGGCAGAGGUCAGAGGGCAGAAUGGAGGAAGGGGGCGGAGCUAGGGACAGGGAUAGAGCCAGGGCUUGUAGAGGUGAGCAGGACAGCAGCAGCAGUAACAACAGCACCAGUGACAAGAAGAAACGCAACUUAUUUCGUCUCUGCUACUUUCACCUCCGCUUCCCACACAUGUAGACCGAGAGAGCAAAGGAAAGAGAGUUGGAGCUAAAUUACAUGCAUAUAGCUGAACACAUACAAGACACACAGGAAGAAUAAACACACAUAAAGCAAUGCCCACAUAAAUGUAGUUUCUCAGGUGAACUCUAUCAGCUCUCAGCACACAAACUCAUAAGGGAGAGUCACAGGUAGGCGCAAUGAUGUUGAAGUUGGCGGCAGGCAGGAAAAACCAUUAAAACACACACACACAAAAUCAACAAUUUCUCUAGCCAUAGAACUGAUGCUGGUUGUAAAUGUAAAUGUACAGUAGAGGACCUGUACCCAGUGUUUCACUGUCUGAAGUAUAAUUUGAAACUCUGGACUUUGCCAAGACAUGAGCUUGAGAGUGUUUUAAACAUAAAGUACCAACAUGUAAUCGUGCAACGUUAUGAAUGGUGGCAAAUCUGACGAUGAAAACACGCGAGAUUUGGUUCUGGUGUUGUUGAGAUAAGGACAUUGCUGACCAACAGAAAGACCAUCUCCACCCACCUGGAUAUGGGAAAAGACUUCACCACUAAACACAUUCCAGCAGGGUUGUGCGUUGUAAACAGCCAUGGAGGAUAGUUGCAAAAUGAAUCCCCUCGAUUUUGCAAUAAUUUUAAAUUUAUUAAAUUAAAUUUAUUCAGCUUCAUAAUAAGUUUGUCAAUUACCACGGCAGGUCUUCAUCACUGAAAGGUAUCCUUUUUUAAAGUAGACCUCAGAGACAUUUGCUUUGUCUUCAGCUUUUAUGACUCACGGUUCAAUGGCAGUCUUAGGCUCUAUGGUCUUUUACAUGUAAAGAGAAGUCAGCUGGUUUCAUAGGAUUUACAUGCAUUCCCUAUAGGGUGUGUGGAUUAAUGAUGCUACCAAUAAUAUUUUUGAAUGUUUUUAAGCUUUUUUGCUGUUGUAUAAAUGUUACAUAUGUAAUUGCUGAGUAUGAUGAAUAUUGUCUACUAACAUAACUGUUUUGAUCCAGUGAUUAAUUAGAUAUUACAGAUGUUUGAUUGAUUGAAAAAAAAAAGAUUAUACAGAGGAUAUAUACACUUAUUCAUUCCCUCAUACUUGUAUGUAAUGAGGGUGUUAUAAAGUGUGAUUUAUUUUUGUUCUCUAUGAUGGUUGCCAUUGAUAACUUCUAUUUUCAGUUAUUAUUAUUGAAUGUUAAAAAUAUUAGUUCAUAUUUAGGACAAUUUUUGUUCUUAGAGAGUUGUGUACCCUAUAGGAGACUGGUGAUUGUGUGAACUAGUAGUUGCACAAUGUCCAAAACAAAAUGGUUAAUUGGAGUCAAAAUGCAUAUGAAUAAAUAUGCUUUCCCACCUCAGACCCCUCUGAAAGAUCCCCUUAUAAGGGCUUUGACCUUUUACCUGCUCAUGGACAAUGAUCCUCAUUUCAUUGGUGACCCUGCAGUCCUCCCUGUUAUCCUCCCUGUUAUCCUCACUGUUAUCAUGGGACUCACUCAGAAGCAUCUGGUCUUGUUGAGAGAGUUUCUCACAUGGCGUGUGUUUGGAUGGUCUAUGUCUUUGAACAAGCACGCUUUGUAAUAUAGUUUUGUGGUUUUGCACACGUGGUGUCUUAAAGUCAAAAAUGGCAUUAUUUUAAACACCCUCCUCACAUACCCCCUUGCCAGUCCUCAGAGAACUCUAAUAGCCUACACCCCAGCACCCUUAUUGAAUGGGCUUGUCAUUAGAUCAAACAGGUUUGUUAAUCUUCUCGUCUCUGUUGACCACCUUUCUUACUUCCUCUCUCUGUCCUUCUAUUGCACUGUGUUUGAACAAUGGUAGAUUGAACAAGGGAUUCGUGUUUCAGGAUAAAGGGAAUCAUUUAGAUUUAGGAUGGUGAAUUGUAGUUAUACAUGCUAGACAAUACUUGUGGACAAAGAAGAGACAGAUUAAUGUUAAAAGCCAGAACAAGAAUAUGGGUAGUCAGGGAAAAAUGUAAGGUUUUAGGGGUGGUUGAGGUUGAAGUUUUUUUGUUGGCUUUUUCCUGCAUAAUUCCCUCUGUAUUGUCCCUUUGUGACCCCUCUUGCAUGAAUAUAUCUGCACUUAUUGAAUGGAUUGUACUGUAUAAAUCUGAAUGUACAUAUUAUAUUGAGGUGUGUGUGUGUGUGUGCGUGCGUGUGUGAGAGAGAAAGAUGAGUAGGGGACUUUGGUUUGAAUAUUGAAUUAUUUUUUAUUUUAGACUGAGGGUGAGAGAAUAAAUUGCAGUAAUUAAGUGUUUGUAUGUCAGAGAACAAAUUGAUAUUAUUUUAAACAUGAUCUUAAGAAUUUAAUUUGUGUAUGUAGUAAGUAUUAACUGGAAGAGUAGAGAAUUGAGAUGUGAAUAUUUAUUGCUUCUGAUAUAUUAAAAAGUGUCCUUGCAGUGAAACAAUCUUCCGUCUUUUAUUGGUGUCUUCAUGACAGAAUAAAUGUCUGCAAAUGUGAUGGACGGCAACACAUUUUCUUUAUUUAUAGCUUACUGUGUAGCACUUUCCCAGCACUUUAGAACAACAUGUAGAGGGUAUGACAUAUUGGUCUACUUCCUGCUAUUCAAACCUGAAAUCAGAACAGAAUUAUCUUCUACCAAUC
ensembl:lncRNA